rnacentral:rRNA from 1 species
UACGUAGGGGGCAAGCGUUGUCCGGAAUUAUUGGGCGUAAAGAGCGUGUAGGCGGUCCGGUAAGUCGGCUGUGAAAGUCCAGGGCUCAACCCUGGGAUGCCGGUCGAUACUGCCGGACUAGAGUUCGGAAGAGGCGAGUGGAAUUCCCGGUGUAGCGGUGAAAUGCGCAGAUAUCGGGAGGAACACCUAUGGCGAAGGCAGCUCGCUGGGACGUUACUGACGCUGAUGCGCGAAAGCGUGGGGAGCAAACAGG